rnacentral:rRNA from 1 species
CCUACGGGAGGCAGCAGUAGGGAAUAUUGCUCAAUGGGGGAAACCCUGAAGCAGCAACGCCGCGUGGAGGAUGAAGGUUUUCGGAUUGUAAACUCCUUUUGUUAGAGAAGAUAAUGACGGUAUCUAACGAAUAAGCACCGGCUAACUCCGUGCCAGCAGCCGCGGUAAUACGGAGGGUGCAAGCGUUACUCGGAAUCACUGGGCGUAAAGAGCGCGUAGGCGGGAUAGCAAGUCAGAUGUGAAAUCCUAUGGCUUAACCAUAGAACUGCAUUUGAAACUGUUAUUCUAGAGUAUGGGAGAGGUAGGUGGAAUUCUUGGUGUAGGGGUAAAAUCCGUAGAGAUCAAGAGGAAUACUCAUUGCGAAGGCGACCUGCUAGAACAUAACUGACGCUGAUGCGCGAAAGCGUGGGGAGCAAACAGGAUUAGAUACCCCAGUAGUC